rnacentral:sRNA from 1 species
UGCUGUAUUACGUCAGCAGGCCACGCCCA